rnacentral:rRNA from 1 species
UACGUAGGGCGCAAGCGUUAUCCGGAAUUAUUGGGCGUAAAGAGCUCGUAGGCGGUUUGUCGCGUCUGCCGUGAAAGUCCGGGGCUCAACUCCGGAUCUGCGGUGGGUACGGGCAGACUAGAGUGAUGUAGGGGAGACUGGAAUUCCUGGUGUAGCGGUGAAAUGCGCAGAUAUCAGGAGGAACACCGGUGGCGAAGGCGGGUCUCUGGGCAGUAACUGACGCUGGAGGAGCGAAAGCGUGGGGAGCGAACAGG